UACAGAGGGUGCAAGCGUUGCUCGGAAUCAUUGGGCGUAAAGGGCAGGUAGGUGGUCUGAUUUGUCUGGAGGUGAAAGCCUUGGGCUUAACCCAAGAAGUGCCCCGGAAACGGUCAGACUUUGAGUCUUGGAGAGGGUUGCGGAAUUCCCGGUGUAGCGGUGAAAUGCGUAGAUAUCGGAAGGAACACCAGUGGCGAAAGCGGCUUCCUGGUCCAGCACCGACGUUCAGGCACGAAAGCGUGGGGAGCAAACAGGGAUUA
rnacentral:rRNA from 1 species